rnacentral:rRNA from 1 species
GAUGAACGCUAGCGGGAGGCUUAACACAUGCAAGUCGAGGGGCAGCAUAGGGUAGCAAUACUCUGAUGGCGACCGGCAAACGGGUGAGUAACGCGUAUGCAACCUACCCUGUACAGGGGGAUAACCCGGAGAAAUUCGGACUAAUAUCCCGUAAUAAUAUCCGGAGGCAUCUUUGGAUAUUUAAAGUUUCGACGGUACGGGAUGGGCAUGCGUAACAUUAGCUGGUUGGUAAGGUAACGGCUUACCAAGGCUAUGAUGUUUAGGGGUCCUGAGAGGGUGGUCCCCCACACUGGUACUGAGACACGGACCAGACUCCUACGGGAGGCAGCAGUGAGGAAUAUUGGUCAAUGGGCGCAAGCCUGAACCAGCCAUCCCGCGUGCAGGAAGACGGCCCUAUGGGUUGUAAACUGCUUUUCCAGGGAGAGAAACUUACGCACGUGUUGCGUGACUGACGGUACCCUGGGAAUAAGCAUCGGCUAACUCCGUGCCAGCCAGCCGCGGUAAAAAGUGUGUGUA